UACGUAGGGUGCAAGCGUUGUCCGGAUUUAUUGGGCGUAAAGAGCUCGUAGGCGGUCUGUCGCGUCGGAUGUGAAAACCCAGGGCUCAACCCUGGGCCUGCAUUCGAUACGGGCAGACUAGAGUACGGCAGGGGAGACUGGAAUUCCUGGUGUAGCGGUGAAAUGCGCAGAUAUCAGGAGGAACACCGAUUGCGAAGGCAGCUCGCUGGGACGUUACUGACGCUGAGACGCGAAAGCGUGGGGAGCAAACAGG
rnacentral:rRNA from 1 species